rnacentral:rRNA from 1 species
AGUUCGGAUUGAAGGCUGAAAUUCGCCUUCAUGAAGCUGGAAUUGCUAGUAAUGGCAGGUCAGCAUACUGCCGUGAAUACGUUCCCGGGCCUUGUACACACCGCCCGUCACACCAUGAGAGUUGGGAAUACCCGAAGCCUGUGAGCUAACUUAUAGAGGCAGCAGUCGAAGGUAGAAUCAGUGAUUGGGGUGAAGUCGUAACAAGGUAAC